rnacentral:lncRNA from 1 species
AAAAAUUUAAUGGAGCCAAAAUGUAAAUCAGUACUACCAACUAAAUUCCUUCUCCUCAAAACAUGUUAAACCCAAAAUACGUUAAACCCCUUCUCCUCUUUCACCCAAAAUCGGUUUGCCAACUAAAUCCCUAACAUUUCAAUCUUGAGCCCCAAUCCGUUGUCUUCUACUUCUCGUCGUCGAUCAAUCCCGAACUCCAAUAUGUUGCCUUCUCGCCUUCGUUCAAUCUCGAACUGUGACCACCGUUCUCACACCCCAUCAACCGUUCUCAUUGUCGCUGUGACCACCGUUCUCGCACCACAUCCACGACGACAACAUGAUCACCAGCGCCACCGUGACCUGAACCUGUGACCACCGUUCUCGUACCACCGGUAAAUUUUGAAUUUUUAUAGUUUAUGAAUUUUCGCAGCACCUGAACAUGUGACCUUAGU